rnacentral:rRNA from 1 species
AAUGAACGCUGGCGGCAUGCCUAACACAUGCAAGUCGAACGAAGGCUUCGGCCUUAGUGGCGCACGGGUGCGUAACGCGUGGGAAUCUGCCCUUGGGUUCGGAAUAACAGUUAGAAAUGACUGCUAAUACCGGAUGAUGUCGUAAGACCAAAGAUUUAUCGCCCAAGGAUGAGCCCGCGUAGGAUUAGCUAGUUGGUGGGGUAAAGGCCCACCAAGGCGACGAUCCUUAGCUGGUCUGAGAGGAUGAUCAGCCACACUGGGACUGAGACACGGCCCAGACUCCUACGGGAGGCAGCAGUGGGGAAUAUUGGACAAUGGGCGAAAGCCUGAUCCAGCAAUGCCGCGUGAGUGAUGAAGGCCUUAGGGUUGUAAAGCUCUUUUACCCGGGAUGAUAAUGACAGUACCGGGAGAAUAAGCUCCGGCUAACUUCGUGCCAGCAGCCGCGGUAAUACGAGGGGAGCUAGCGUUAUUCGGAAUUACUGGGCGUAAAGCGCACGUAGGCGGCUUUGUAAGUUAGAGGUGAAAGCCCAGAGCUCAACUCUGGAAUUGCCUUUAAGACUGCAUCGCUUGAAUCCAGGAGAGGUGAGUGGAAUUCCGAGUGUAGAGGUGAAAUUCGUAGAUAUUCGGAAGACACCAGUGGCGAAGGCGGCUCACUGGACUGG